UUGGAGGGCAAGUCUGGUGCCAGCAGCCGCGGUAAUUCCAGCUCCAAUAGCGUAUAUUAAAGUUGUUGCAGUUAAAAAGCUCGUAGUUGAAUUUCGGGAUCAAUUUAUUGGUCGUGCCAACGGUACGCACUGGUACAAUUGGUUUCUCCCUUCUGACGAAGCAUGAUGUCAUUAAUUUGAUGUCGUGGGGAAUCAGGACUGUUACUUUGAAAAAAUUAGAGUGUUUAAAGCAGGCUUUGGCUUGAAUACAUUAGCAUGGAAUAAUGAAAUAGGACGUUUGAUCUUAUUUCGUUGGUUUCUAAGAUCGACGUAAUGAUUAAUAGGGAUAGUUGGGGGCAUUAGUAUUCAAUUGUCAGAGGUGAAAUUCUUGGAUUUAUUGAAGACUAACUACUGCGAAAGCAUUUGCCAAGGAUGUUUUCAUUAAUCAAGAACGAAAGUUAGGGGAUCGAAGACGAUCAGAUACCGUCGUAGUCUUAACCAUAAACCAUGCCGACUAGGGAUCGGAUGAUGUUAAUUUUUCUUGACUCGUUCGGCGCCUUACGGGAAAC
rnacentral:rRNA from 1 species